GCGGACGUGGCGGAACCGGUAGACGCAGCGGACUUAAAAUCCGCUGGGGGAGACCUCGUGCGGGUUCGAGUCCCGCCGUCCGCACCA
rnacentral:tRNA from 1 species